GUUAGUUUUACCCUACUGAUGAAGUGUUGUCGUAAUGGUAAUUCAACUUAGUACGAGAGGAACCGUUGAUUCUGAUAUUUGGUAUUUUCGCUUAGCUGAGAAGCUAGUGGCGAGAAGCUACAAUCAGUAGGAUUAUGACUGAACGCCUCUAAGUCAGAAUCCGUGCCAGAAACGAGAACG
rnacentral:rRNA from 1 species